GCGUGGGUAGUCUAGCGGUAGGACGUUGGCCUUCCAAGCCUACGACGCGGGUUCAACUCCCGCCCCACGCA
rnacentral:tRNA from 1 species